UGACUUGAGGGGAGUAGGGGGUAUAAUCCAAGUCAAGGAAGAAAAAUGUGAAUAGCAGAGACAAGGAUGUGGUAAACAGUCCCAAUUUGUAGAUGCUGAGCAACAUAGCCAUGUGUUGAAAUUUAAAAGCCACAAACUGGAGUUUAAGUACUAAACAAAUUCCUUAAAAAAAAAGCCAAAUAAGGAAAAGGAUGGACUGUAAAGUUGUUUAAAACAAUAGUUUAAGGAAUCACCAAAACUCAUGGCUACAUUUUUGGAUGCUUGAGCUACAACAGAACUACACAACUAAAGUCAGCAAACACGUGGACAUUUUUUUCUUCGAGUGCAUCUUUGAAAUACAGCCAGCCAAGUGAUGGUCUUGAAUCAGGGAGAUGUUUACUCGUGUGUAGCUGAGGAUAAGAAGUGGGCACAGGUAAAGACAAGUUCCAACACUGGAGUUUCAAACAUCCCAAUCAAAUCCACCAGA